UUUCACAAUCACAAUUUCACAGGCCGUGGGAGGGCCGGUGGGUGUUGAAGAAGAAAAAAACUGACAGGAAGAUUUCUAGAGAAGUUCAUUUGCUGUUCUCUUGGAUUACUCGCUCAGAUCAAAUGUCUCAUUGGUAUACAUGAUUUGUGGAGAUUUGUUAUCAGAAGCUGGAGGAAAUACAGCUCAUCGGACAAAAUAAACCACAGAGAAGCAUGCGCUGACUGGCCAACCUCUGAAAAGAGAAGUAACAGAAGAAGAGCUUGAGACACUUGACAGUAAAUGGUCUUACUUAGAAUCAAUGGAGAUUAUUGCAGCCCAUUAAAAACAUAAAGGUAAGUGAAACUUAGUAUUGUUUAGUAAAAGGAGGAUAAUGUUUUAUAAAAAUGUAUUAUUAGUAUUAUUCAUUUUUUUUAUUUGGUUUGUCAGCAGCAUGGCACAAAUGCCAGGUUUCUUUUUGCUGGUAAUAGUCGGGAUAAUUGUAUCAACCUUGACAAUAAUCCUCGUAUUCAUCAUCAUCAAUGUGUGUAUUAGCAAGCAAGCUGCCAGGCGAAAGAAGCAAGAGUCAAUACAAAAUCACACUAAUUUAAGUCACAAUCACCUGUUUCCAGCCCAUGCAGACGUGGAGGAGAAACCACCUCCACUGCCUUCUAGGGACCAGUUCCUCUCAGAGUCAAGGUCCAACAGUUAUGAGCAGGUGGACACUUUAAUAAGUCCAAUGAAAGUAGAAAUUCAAAGUCCAUCUCCACCACAACCGACUUUCAUCCAGGACUGUAAGAUCCAGUUUGAAGAGGAGGACAACAAGAGUGUGGGUGAAAGCUAUGAUGAUGUUGAACAACUUAACAAUGCGAGCCAGAGUUAUGAGGAUGUGGCAUCUCUGCCUGAUUACCUGGAGCUUGAUGACAAUCUGCCUGCCUUUCAGCAUCAGGAGCAAUUCAUUAGUACCGAAAACUGCAGUCGUGAAAGUAUGGCCAGCUAUGAUGAUGUUGGAGAGCUUGACAACGUCAGCGAGGACUAUGAUGAUGUGGGAUGA
rnacentral:lncRNA from 1 species